rnacentral:RNase_P_RNA from 1 species
AAAGUAGAGAGGAUGGUCGCCGGUCUGCUAUUGGCAGACGGGAGGAAAGUCCGGGCUCCACAGGACAGAGUGGUCGAUAACGUCGACCGACCGUAAGGUCAGAGAUAGUGCAACAGAGAGUAGACCGCCAGUUUACUGGUAAGGGUGAAAGGGUGCGGUAAGAGCGCACCAGCAGCUAUGGCGACAUGGUUGGCUAGGUAAACCUCACUCGGAGCAAGGCUAAGCAGAAAGAAAAACAGGCUCGCCUGUUUACGAGUCGGUCCGGCUCGUUCGACUUUCGGGUAAGCUGCUUGAGCAAUUUAGCAAUAAAUUGCCUAGAUAAAUGGCCAUCACUAUUUUUAAAAAUAGUUACAAAACCCGGCUUAUUCUCUACUUUUUAU